CCUUCGGGGUGGAUUAGUGGCGAACGGGUGAGUAACACGUGGGCAAUCUGCCCUGCACUCUGGGACAAGCCCUGGAAACGGGGUCUAAUACCGGAUAUGACCGUCCAUCGCAUGGUGGAUGGUGUAAAGCUCCGGCGGUGCAGGAUGAGCCCGCGGCCUAUCAGCUAGUUGGUGAGGUAGUGGCUCACCAAGGCGACGACGGGUAGCCGGCCUGAGAGGGCGACCGGCCACACUGGGACUGAGACACGGCCCAGACUCCUACGGGAGGCAGCAGUGGGGAAUAUUGCACAAUGGGCGAAAGCCUGAUGCAGCGACGCCGCGUGAGGGAUGACGGCCUUCGGGUUGUAAACCUCUUUCAGCAGGGAAGAAGCGAAAGUGACGGUACCUGCAGAAGAAGCGCCGGCUAACUACGUGCCAGCAGCCGCGGUAAUACGUAGGGCGCAAGCGUUGUCCGGAAUUAUUGGGCGUAAAGAGCUCGUAGGCGGCUUGUCACGUCGGUUGUGAAAGCCCGGGGCUUAACCCCGGGUCUGCAGUCGAUACGGGCAGGCUAGAGUUCGGUAGGGGAGAUCGGAAUUCCUGGUGUAGCGGUGAAAUGCGCAGAUAUCAGGAGGAACACCGGUGGCGAAGGCGGAUCUCUGGGCCGAUACUGACGCUGAGGAGCGAAAGCGUGGGGAGCGAACAGGAUUAGAUACCCUGGUAGUCCACGCCGUAAACGGUGGGCACUAGGUGUGGGCAACAUUCCACGUUGUCCGUGCCGCAGCUAAACGCAU
rnacentral:rRNA from 1 species